AUUGAACGCUGGCGACAAGCCUAACACAUGCAAGUCGAACGAGUGGCGGACGGGUGAGUAAUGUCUGGGAAACUGCCUGAUGGAGGGGGAUAACUACUGGAAACGGUAGCUAAUACCGCAUACCAUAGCCUGUGCCCAGAUGGGAUGAGCUAGUAGGUGGGGUAAAGGCUCACCUUGGCGACGAUCCCUAGCGGGUCUGAGAGGAUGAACAGCCACACUGGAACGGAGACACGGUCCAGAUUCCUACGUGAGGCAGCAGUGGGGAAUAUUGCACAAUGGGCGCAAGCCUGAUGCAGCCAUGCCGCGUGUAUGAAGAAGGCCUUCGGGUUGUAAAGUACUUUCAGCGGGGAGGCGGUACCCGAAGAAUAAGCACCGGCUAACUCCGUGCCAGCAGCCGCGGUAAUAG
rnacentral:rRNA from 1 species